rnacentral:rRNA from 1 species
GACGAACGCUGGCGGCGUGCCUAAUACAUGCAAGUAGAACGCACAGUUUAUACCGUAGCUUGCUACACCAUAAACUGUGAGUUGCGAACGGGUGAGUAACGCGUAGGUAACCUGCCUGGUAGCGGGGGAUAACUAUUGGAAACGAUAGCUAAUACCGCAUAAUAUUAAUUAUUGCAUGAUAAUUGAUUGAAAGAUGCAAUUGCAUCACUACCAGAUGGACCUGCGUUGUAUUAGCUAGUAGGUGAGGUAACGGCUCACCUAGGCGACGAUACAUAGCCGACCUGAGAGGGUGAUCGGCCAAACUGGGACUGAGACACGGCCCAGACUCCUACGGGAGGCAGCAGUAGGGAAUCUUCGGCAAUGGACGAAAGUCUGACCGAGCAACGCCGCGUGAGUGAAGAAGGUUUUCGGAUCGUAAAGCUCUGUUGUAAGGGAAGAACGGGUGUGAGAGUGGAAAGUUCACACUGUGACGGUAUCUUACCAGAAAGGGACGGCUAACUACGUG